rnacentral:rRNA from 1 species
AUUGAACGCUGGCGGCAGGCCUAACACAUGCAAGUCGAGCGGAUGAAGGGAGCUUGCUCCUGGAUUCAGCGGCGGACGGGUGAGUAAUGCCUAGGAAUCUGCCUGGUAGUGGGGGAUAACGUCCGGAAACGGGCGCUAAUACCGCAUACGUCCUGAGGGAGAAAGUGGGGGAUCUUCGGACCUCACGCUAUCAGAUGAGCCUAGGUCGGAUUAGCUAGUUGGUGGGGUAAAGGCCUACCAAGGCGACGAUCCGUAACUGGUCUGAGAGGAUGAUCAGUCACACUGGAACUGAGACACGGUCCAGACUCCUACGGGAGGCAGCAGUGGGGAAUAUUGGACAAUGGGCGAAAGCCUGAUCCAGCCAUGCCGCGUGUGUGAAGAAGGUCUUCGGAUUGUAAAGCACUUUAAGUUGGGAGGAAGGGCAGUAAGUUAAUACCUUGCUGUUUUAACGUUACCAAAAGAAUAAGCACCGGCUAACUUCGUG